rnacentral:rRNA from 1 species
CCCUUAGAUGUUCUGGGCCGCACACGCGCUACACUGAAGGAGGCAGCGUGUACUCCUGGAUCGAAAGAUUUGGGUAACCCGCGAAUCUCCUUCGUGCUAGGGAUUGAGGUUUGCAAUUAUCCUUCAUGAACGAGGAAUUCCCAGUAAGUGCAGGUCAUAAGCUUGCGCUGACUACGUCCCUGCCCUUUGUACACACCGCCCGUCGCUACUACCGAUUGAAUGAUUUAGUGAGGACUUCGGACUGGGACCGAUGCGGCUUUCGGGCUGCGUCGGUAUUCUGGAAAGAUGUCCAAACUGUAUCAUUUAGAGGAAGUAAAAGUCGUAGCA